rfam:Triticum aestivum genome assembly, contig: Triticum_aestivum_CS42_TGACv1_scaffold_113065_2AS
GUAGUAUUCCCUCCGUCUGAAAAUAUUUGUCAAAAAUAUUAAUAAAAAUAGAUAUAUUUAAAAUUAAAAUAUGUCUAGAUACAUCCAUUUCUUCGACGAGUAUUUCCGGACGGAGUGAGUACUGC